GCCGAGGAUGGUGGCACAUGCCUGUAAUCCCAGCAGCUUGGAGGCUGAGGCAGGAGGAUCGCAGGUUCAAAGCCAGCCUCAGCAACAACAAUGAGAUGCUAAGCAACUCAGUGAGAACCCUGUCUCUA
rnacentral:sRNA from 1 species